GAGUAAUAUAUCGGAACGUGCCCAGUCGUGGGGGAUAACGUAGCGAAAGCUACGCUAAUACCGCAUACGAUCUAUGGAUGAAAGCGGGGGAUCGCAAGACCUCGCGCGAUUGGAGCGGCCGAUAUCAGAUUAGGUAGUUGGUGAGGUAAAGGCUCACCAAGCCGACGAUCUGUAGCUGGUCUGAGAGGACGACCAGCCACACUGGGACUGAGACACGGCCCAGACUCCUACGGGAGGCAGCAGUGGGGAAUUUUGGACAAUGGGCGCAAGCCUGAUCCAGCAAUGCCGCGUGCAGGAUGAAGGCCUUCGGGUUGUAAACUGCUUUUGUACGGAACGAAACGGUGAGCUCUAAUACAGUUUGCUAAUGACGGUACCGUAAGAAUAAGCACCGGCUAACUACGUG
rnacentral:rRNA from 1 species